rnacentral:rRNA from 1 species
CUGCGGAGGGUCAUUACACAAAUAUGAAGGCGGGCUGGAACCUCUCGGGGUUACAGCCUUGCUGAAUUAUUCACCCUUGUCUUUUGCGUACUUCUUGUUUCCUUGGUGGGUUCGCCCACCACUAGGACAAACAUAAACCUUUUGUAAUUGCAAUCAGCGUCAGUAACAAAUUAAUAAUUACAACUUUCAACAACGGAUCUCUUGGUUCUGGCAUCGAUGAAGAACGCAGCGAAAUGCGAUAAGUAGUGUGAAUUGCAGAAUUCAGUGAAUCAUCGAAUCUUUGAACGCACAUUGCGCCCUUUGGUAUUCCAAAGGGCAUGCCUGUUCGAGCGUCAUUUGUACCCUCAAGCUUUGCUUGGUGUUGGGCGUCUUGUCUCUAGCUUUGCUGGAGACUCGCCUUAAAGUAAUUGGCAGCCGGCCUACUGGUUUCGGAGCGCAGCACAAGUCGCACUCUCUAUCAGCAAAGGUCUAGCAUCCAUUAAGCCUUUUUUUCAACUUUUGACCUCGGAUCAGGUAGGGAUACCCGCUGAACUUAAGCAUAUCAAUAAGCGGAGGAAAAGAAACCAACAGGGAUUGCCCUAGUAACGGCGAGUGAAGCGGCAACAGCUCAAAUUUGAAAUCUGGCUCUUUUAGAGUCCGAGUUGUAAUUUGCAGAGGGCGCUUUGGCUUUGGCAGCGGUCCAAGUUCCUUGGAACAGGACGUCACAGAGGGUGAGAAUCCCGUACGUGGUCGCUGGCUAUUGCCGUGUAAA